GGCACCAUUAGAUAAAAAUAGAAAAGUAGAUAACAUGUAUAAUUGAGAAAUGUAUUUUAUGCUCAAACUGUUUUUUAUUUUCAUUAUACAGACCCACGUAUCUAUUUGCCACAUGAACAUAAAUAUUUCUGUUCCCUUUGCUCAUACAAGCUACAGAACCAUUUAGCACAAACUGCUAUGGUUCAACAUAACGAUGCCUCUGAAUGUUCUUGAAGCUGUUCUCCAGGAGGUGGCGCUAGCACAGGGAGACUCAGCUUACCUCACCUUGGCUUUGACCUGCAAGUGCUUUGAAGCCGUUGAGUCUGACCCAGUUUUCAGGAAGAAGACUCACUUUGCUUGGCUGGAUGGUGAGAUCAACUGGGGCAAAUUUUCAAAAACAUUCAAGGCAGAAAACCGGAUUCCUUUUGCGGUUGUAACGUGUUCCUCCUGCCACCGGUGAUAUAAAGACUGUGGGCUUCACCGGCAAUGGAAGACGAGGAGAGUACCCUGGUUACUACUGUGAUGGCCGACCUGGACACUGCACUGACUGUCA